rnacentral:rRNA from 1 species
UACGUAGGGUGCAAGCGUUAAUCGGAAUUACUGGGCGUAAAGCGUGCGCAGGCGGUUAUGCAAGGCAGAUGUGAAAUCCCCGAGCUCAACUUGGGAAUUGCGCUUGUGACUGCAAGGCUAGAGUGUGUCAGAGGGGGGUGGAAUUCCACGUGUAGCAGUGAAAUGCGUAGAGAUGUGGAGGAACACCGAUGGCGAAGGCAGCCCCCUGGGUUAACACUGACGCUCAGGCACGAAAGCGUGGGGAGCAAACAGG